GAGGCAGAGACCUGUGGGAAUGUGUGUGUGUGUGUGUGUGUGUGUGUGUGUGUGUGUGUGUGUGUGUGUGUGUGUGUGUGUGUGACUGAAGAAUAUGCCACUGGCCUUGAGCCCACUUCAAGGAGCAUUAAGGGACCUGGAGGGGCCCCUGACCCCACUGUGAAAUAAAAGACCUUUCAACAUGUUCCUACUACUCACUCCUUAUAUUUUGAAAUGAUUCAAUAAUUAUUUUCUUACAUUGUGUAAUUGUAUGAGUUACCAAAAAGUAAAGCAUCCAAAAUAUAUACAAUAAUAAUACAAUAUUUGAAUUACAGUUGCAAAAUAAUGGUUAAUUAUUAUGUAUUGAUUAAUGUUUAAAUGUCUUAAUGUAGUACACCUUUUGACUUACACAUAUGUAUUCAGACUAUAACUUCAUAAGAGAAGAUGUAAAUCAACAAAGAAAUAAGUAAAUACUGUACAUUUAGUUGUUUGUUAAAUGUCCGUAAGUGCCACAAGAUGGCGCUAUAGUUGCGGGAGUGACUUUGAGCUGACGCACCGCAAUCUGCGAGAGAAACGAGACGAAACUAUCAGCUGGUGGGACGUGAACAGAGGCGAGUGAGGUUCUCUGAGGUGAAUGUGUUUAUUGGAACCCUGAUUUACAGCUUCCUGUGUAGAAGAACAUUUUCAUUUGUGUGUGUGCGCGUGCGCUUACAGUGCUACGUCGACACAGAAAAAGGUCGGGUGAAAUGUUAAUGAUGUACAUGUUUUGUUUAUGGUGAGUGGCUGAUCUUUGCAGCUCGGUGCCGGGGCGAGUUUUAAACAUUUCAAUCGAGUUUGUGUCAAAGCGCUGCUCCCCUUUCAGGAGUCAACACCCCGAUGACAUCUCAUUUAUUUGGCUGGUUUGUUUUGAUGACUCACCUCUACAAGCCAGGUUCUUUAGGAAGGCACAAAGCCUCCUACGGCGAUCCAAAUCGGCACCGCAGGAGUGCAGAACUACAUCCAACUUGGCGGCUCCCAGCCGGAUGCACAUUUUCCAUUCAACUAAUCUGCUGUCAUGUCACUUGUUUGAUCACGGUGAGGAGUGUGACAGCGACUGGAUGCGAGCGUUGAGUCAUUUUGUUGGAAGCGAAGGCAGCCGGCAUCAUCGCUGAGUCAGUACCGGGAGCGCCGCUAGCCGGCUGGGGAGGAUAUUUCCAGCCCCUGGAAGGACGGGGGGCCCGGUUUCUAGACGAAUCAAACACGUGGAGCAGAACCAGGCAAAUAAAACCACAGAACAUCUGGCA
rnacentral:lncRNA from 1 species